rnacentral:rRNA from 1 species
UACGUAGGGGGCAAGCGUUGUCCGGAAUUAUUGGGCGUAAAGAGCUCGUAGGCGGUUUGUUGCGUCGGCUGUGAAAUCCCGAGGCUCAACCUCGGGUCUGCAGUCGAUACGAGCAAACUAGAGUGUUGCAGGGGAGACUGGAAGUUCCUGGUGUAGCGGUGAAAUGCGCAGAUAUCAGGAGGAACACCGGUGGCGAAGGCGGGUCUCUGGGCAACAACUGACGCUGGAGGAGCGAAAGCGUGGGGAGCGAACAGGA